GAUGAACGCUGACAGAAUGCUUAACACAUGCAAGUCUACUUGAUCCUUCGGGUGAUGGUGGCGGACGGGUGAGUAACGCGUAAAGAACUUGCCCUGCAGUCUGGGACAACAUUUGGAAACGAAUGCUAAUACCGGAUAUUAUGCGAGAUUCGCAUGUUUCUCGUAUGAAAGCUAUAUGCGCUGCAGGAGAGCUUUGCGUCCUAUUAGCUAGUUGGUGAGGUAACGGCUCACCAAGGCGAUGAUAGGUAGCCGGCCUGAGAGGGUGAACGGCCACAAGGGGACUGGGACACGGCCCUUACUCCUACGGGAGGCAGCAGUGGGGAAUAUUGGACAAUGGACCAAAAGUCUGAUCCAGCAAUUCUGUGUGCACGAUGAAGUUUUUCGGAAUGUAAAGUGCUUUCAGUUGGGACGAAGUAAGUGACGGUACCAACAGAAGAAGCGACGGCUAAAUGCGUGCCAGCAGCCGCGGUAAUACGUAUGUCGCAAGCGUUAUCCGGAUUUAUUGGGCGUAAAGCGCGUCUAGGCGGUUUGGUAAGUCUGAUGUGAAAAUGCGGGGCUCAACUUCGUAUUGCGUUGGAAACUGUCAAACUAGAGUACUGGAGAGGUGGGCGGAACUACAAGUGUAGAGGUGAAAUUCGUAGAUAUUUGUAGGAAUGCCGAUGGGGAAGCCAGCCCACUGGACAGAUACUGACGCUAAAGCGCGAAAGCGUGGGUAGCAAACAGGAUUAGAUACCCUGGUAGUCCACGCCGUAAACGAUGAUUACUAGGUGUUGGGGGUCGAACCUCAGCGCCCAAGCUAACGCGAUAAGUAAUCCGCCUGGGGAGUACGUACGCAAGUAUGAAACUCAAAGGAAUUGACGGGGACCCGCACAAGCGGUGGAGCAUGUGGUUUAAUUCGACGCAACGCGAGGAACCUUACCAGCGUUUGACAUCCUAGGAAGUUGGCAGAGAUGCCUUCGUGCCCCUUCGGGGGAACCUAGUGACAGGUGGUGCAUGGCUGUCGCCAGCUCGUGUCGUGAGAUGUUGGGUUAAGUCCCGCAACGAGCGCAACCCCUUUCGUAUGUUGCCAUCAUUAAGUUGGGAACUCAUGCGAUACUGCCUGCGAUGAGCAGGAGGAAGGUGGGGAUGACGUCAAGUCAUCAUGCCCCUUAUACGCUGGGCUACACACGUGCUACAAUGGGUAGUACAGAGAGUCGCUAACCUGCGAGGGGGAGCUAAUCUCAGAAAACUAUUCUCAGUUCGGAUUGUACUCUGCAACUCGAGUACAUGAAGUUGGAAUCGCUAGUAAUCGCAAAUCAGCUAUGUUGCGGUGAAUACGUUCUCGGGUCU
rnacentral:rRNA from 1 species